rnacentral:rRNA from 1 species
AAGGCGAUGAUGCAUAGCCGAGUUGAGAGACUGAUCGGCCACAUUGGGACUGAGACACGGCCCAAACUCCUACGGGAGGCAGCAGUAGGGAAUCUUCCACAAUGGACGCAAGUCUGAUGGAGCAAACGCCGCGUGAGUGAAGAAGGGUUUCGGCUACGUAAAGCUCUGUUGUUGGUGAAGAAGGACAGGGGGUAGUAACUGACCUUUGUUUGACGGUAAUCAAUUAGAAAGUCACGGGCUAACUACGUGCCAGCAGCCGCGGGUAAAAU